AACGAACGCUGGCGGCAUGCCUAACACGUGCAAGUCGAACGAGACCUUCGGGUCUAGUGGCGCACGGGUGCGUAACGCGUGGGAACCUGCCCUUAGGUUCAGAAUAACUCCCCGAAAGGGGUGCUAAUACCGGAUAAUGUCUUCGGACCAAAGAUUUAUCGCCUUUGGAUGGGCCCGCGUUGGAUUAGCUAGUUGGUAGGGUAAAAGCCUACCAAGGCGACGAUCCAUAGCUGGUCUGAGAGGAUGAUCAGCCACACUGGGACUGAGACACGGCCCAGACUCCUACGGGAGGCAGCAGUGGGGAAGAUUGGACAAUGGGCGAAAGCCUGAUCCAGCAAUGCCGCGUGAGGGAUGAAGGCCUUAGGGUUGUAAAGCUCUUUUACCCGGGAUGAUAAUGACAGUACCGGGAGAAUAAGCUCCGGCUAACUCCGUG
rnacentral:rRNA from 1 species